rnacentral:lncRNA from 11 species
GGCAGAUUGGCUCUGAUUAGUAGCAGCUGUAGGCCAAGUCUAAAGCAACAUUGUAAGGGCAGAGAAUGCAUUCCAGAUGAUGAAUAUGAUGCAGAUUUGCCAAAAGAAGAACAUAUUUCUGGGGCAUAAAAGAAAACAUGGUAGAAGCAGGGUGGACUCAUUACACAUAAUAAGUAAUGAGACAACGGCACGAUCAGGACAUUGACG